CAAAACCAUAACGAUAAAGCAAUUUUCUACAUGCUAGAGAAGGUUGUAGAAGAAGAAGAUCAUGGCAAGAGGUGAAUAAGAUGGAAUCGAUCAUACAUGGAAGUGCAACCGCAUCGUCGUCGUCUUUGUCAUUUGCUCCGACGAGAUAAAGCGGAGUAGCUAUUGUUGAGGUUCGAAGAAUAAGUGUAGAGUUAUUCUACAGAGUCGAGUCAAAUGCUCUGGUCAUGUGACACCGGGGUUAUGGGAUUCGAUAGAUAGUUGAUUAUUAUUUAUGUUGUUUAUGAUGACCAAAUGUUGAGAUGUUUUGUUGAGAUAAUGUUGAACCCUUUUUAUGAAUUGUUAUAUGCUGAAUUAUAAUAAUUGUGUUGUUGUCCGCUGCGAAGUUUUAAAUAUUAAACAACAUGUUUUAUGUUGUGAUGU